rnacentral:rRNA from 1 species
AUUGAACGCUGGCGGCAGGCCUAACACAUGCAAGUCGAACGAGUGGCGGACGGGUGAGUAAUGUCUGGGAAAGUGCCCGAUGGAGGGGGAUAACUACUGGACAGGGUAGCUAAUACCGCAUACUAUCGGAUGUGCCCAGAUGGGAUUAGCUAGUAGGUGGGGUAACGGCUCACCUAGGCGACGAUCCCUAGCGGGUUUGAGAGGAUGACCAGCCACACUGGAACUGAGACACGGUCCAGACUCCUACGGGAGGCAGCAGUGGGGAAUAUUGCACAAUGGGCGCAAGCCUGAUGCAGCCAUGCCGCGUGUAUGAAGAAGGCCUUAGGGUUGUAAAGUACUUUCAGCGGGGAGGCGUUACCCGCAGAAGAAGCACCGGCUAACUCCGUGCCAGCAGCCGCGGUAAUUC